ACUCCUACGGGAGGCAGCAGUAGGGAAUCUUCCACAAUGGGCGCAAGCCUGAUGGAGCAACACCGCGUGAGUGAAGAAGGGUUUCGGCUCGUAAAGCUCUGUUGUUAAAGAAGAACACGUAUGAGAGUAACUGUUCAUACGUUGACGGUAUUUAACCAGAAAGUCACGGCUAACUACGUGCCAGCAGCCGCGGUAAUACGUAGGUGGCAAGCGUUAUCCGGAUUUAUUGGGCGUAAAGAGAGUGCAGGCGGUUUUCUAAGUCUGAUGUGAAAGCCUUCGGCUUAACCGGAGAAGUGCAUCGGAAACUGGAUAACUUGAGUGCAGAAGAGGGUAGUGGAACUCCAUGUGUAGCGGUGGAAACGUCGUA
rnacentral:rRNA from 1 species